rnacentral:misc_RNA from 1 species
GGACUUGGGGGCUUGCUGCCGCAGGGCGGCUCCCCUUAAAAGAAUCGGUUGGGCCCGCAGCGGCUCUGUCCCGGCGUUGUAAUGCAACCGCCUCAAAGGACGAGCCCCGCCUCAGCGCCCUCCCCCGACCUGCCUUUGGAGUGGCGGUCUAUCUUUUGAAAUCUGACCUCGAAUCGGGUAGGACUACCCGCUGAACUUAA